rnacentral:rRNA from 1 species
UACGUAGGGUGCGAGCGUUGUCCGGAAUUAUUGGGCGUAAAGAGCUCGUAGGCGGUGUGUCACGUCGGCCGUGAAAACCUGCAGCUUAACUGUGGGCGUGCAGUCGAUACGGGCGGACUGGAGUUCGGCAGGGGAGACUGGAAUUCCUGGCGUAGCGGUGAAAUGCGCAGAUAUCAGGAGGAACACCGGUGGCGAAGGCGGUUCUCUGGGAAUGUCCUGACGCUGAGGAGCGAAAGUGUGGGGAGCGAACAGG